rnacentral:rRNA from 1 species
CCGAGAUCGGCCCUGCCGGCCCGGACCUCCAGCCCCCUGUGUACCCCGCCCUCUGUUGCUCUGGCGGGCCCGUUGGGGGCCCCCACCGCCGGCGUCAGCCGGCGAGCGCCCGCCAGAGGCCCCCGAAACCCCGUGUGCCGGUGUCGUCUGAGUCCCACACAAUCGUGAAAACUUUCAACAACGGAUCUCUUGGUUCUGGCAUCGAUGAAGAACGCAGCGAAAUGCGACAAGUAAUGUGAAUUGCAGAAUUCAGUGAACCAUCGAAUCUUUGAACGCACAUUGCGCCCCCCGGCAUUCCGGGGGGCAUGCCUGUCCGAGCGUCAUUGCACCCCCUCAAGCUCCGCUUGGUGUUGGGCCUCCGUCCCCCGGGACGGGCCCGAAAGCGAGUGGCGGCGCGGCCCGACUCCCGAGCGUAGUGGCCGAGAACCCGCUCCGGGAGCCCUUCGGGUCGCCCCGGCCAGACAACCCCACGGUCCGCCUCCCCGGUUGACCUCGGAUCAGGUAGGGAUACCCGCUGAACUUAA